ensembl:lncRNA
AGCCCCCUCUGGAUUGAUCUAGGUGUCAGUAACGCACAGGUUUUCCAGCUCUAAGCAGAGAGGAGAGUACACAGAAGAAGGACAGAGUGACUGUGUGACUGGGUGUGUGUGUGUGAGUGAGAGAGUGUGUGGGAGGUCGUGCAGCAUGCAGCAGUAGAGAGGAUACACACACUCGCCAUGGCGUGUCCCCCGCCCCCUCCCCCUGUUUAAGAAGAGCUACGUCCUCCCUCUAACUCACCACUGGGGGCUUCAGAGUGGAGCCCCACACACCACAUCACACCACACCACACACACCGGCCCACUACAAUCCCAGGUGUGUGUGUGCGAGUUGGGUUCUCGCCCCCUUCCUGAGGGAAGAUGUCUGUGGUGAUGCCCCUGGAUGGGGUGAGGGAGGGGGAGAGUGUGCUGGUUACUGAGACCCCAGCCGGCACGCGCUGCAAAGGAAACACCAAUUUACCUGGCAAAGACAACUGCACUGACAACAACAACACAGAGCCUGACGACAACCUCUCACAAGACACACAGAAACGCUGUCAGAACCAUGGCCAUACCAGGAAAAGAGCCAAGUCCAAUGCCAAGCUGAAGCUGGUGCGGAGUCUAGCAGUAUGUGAAGAGUCAUCGGGUCCAUUCUCAACUGAUGGACCUCCAGAGACGCAGGACAUCAUUCAGCUACACAUCAGCUGUCCUUCAGACAAAGAAGAGGAGAAAUCCUCGAAAGAUGAGUACGAGAGUGAGGAGAGGGAGAAGAAGGACAAGACUCCUCGCAAGAUGCUCUCGCGGGACUCCAGUCAGGAGUACACAGACUCCACGGGCAUCGAUGUGCACGAGUUCUUGGUGAACACACUGAAAAACAACCCCAGGGACAGAAUGAUGCUACUGAAGCUGGAACAAGAUAUACUGGAGUUCAUCAAUGAUGACAAUAAUCAGUAUAAGAAGUUCCCUCAGAUGACCUCUUACCAUCGCAUGCUACUGCAUCGGGUGGCAGCAUAUUUUGGAAUGGACCACAACGUGGACCAAACUGGCAAAGCAGUCAUCAUCAACAAAACGAGCAACACGCGCAUCCCUGAACAGAGGUUUUCUGAGCACAUUAAGGACGAAAGGAACAUGGAUUUCCAAAAGAAAUUCAUUCUCAAGAGGGAUGAUGCAAGCAUGGACAAAGACGAUAACCAGAUCCGGGUUCCACUCCAGGAUGGUCGACGCAGUAAGUCCAUUGAGGAGAGGGAGGAGGAGUAUCAGCGUGUUCGAGAUAGAAUCUUUGCUCGGGAAUCCUCUCAAAACGGAUACAUCAAUGACAACAGGGGUAAUAAGGAGAGUUCGAGCAGAGCGUCCAGCAGCCGGCAGAGCAGCACAGACAGCGAUAUGAAGAGUCUGGAGCCACGGCCGUGGAGCAGCACAGACUCGGACAGUUCCAACCGCACACUGCGGCCACCCGUCACCAAGGCCAGCAGCUUCAGUGGCAUCUCUAUCCUCACACGCGGCGACAGCCUGGGCAGCAAGGGCUCGCAGGGUAGCGCCAGGGGGUCACGCACAGGUCUCCCUCUCAUCACCACAGAGACAUGCCCCCAGCCCCAGCCCCCCCAGCAGGGACGCAGCCUCUUGCCCUGUCCUUCCAACUGCCCCUCUAAUGCCCCUCCACCCCAGAACCAGGCGCCCCCACCACCCCCACAAACUCCGGUGGCCUCUCUGCAGCCCUCUCCGCAGCCUGUCUCAUACUCCAGCCCCUCCUGCCCUCAGGUCAUCCUGCCUGUUUCUCCUUCUCAGCAGUAUAACAUGGGAGAUGAGUUGACCCCAGGCUUCGGGCAGAUGUCUCUGAGCCGCCAGGGCUCCAGCGAGGCUCCAGAGCCACCCACCCUCUACCAGCCUCCUCCUGCCGUCCUGUCCCAGCACCCCCCACCACAGCCAAGUUACAUCAUGCCCCCACCGCCCUCUGGGUACCAACCGCCCACACCUCACCCACACCCUCCUCCACCCCCUCCGCCUCCUACCCAGCCUGUACUGCAGACAGCACCGCCUGCUCAGGGCUACAUGCAGCCCCCGCCACCACCUCAGCAGAUCCAGGUGCAGUAUUACUCAGCUGGUGGGCAGUAUCCGAGUUCAGGACAGCAGUACAGGUCCAUAUCCCACCAAGUGUCAUACCCUGCUCAACGCUCUCAGACCCUCCCCCCACCAACGCAGCCCUCCGCUCCUCUCCAGCCUAUGAUGGCGAGUCAGCAGCCAACGUAUCAGAGCAUGAUGGGAGUUCAGCAGCCGCAGAGUGCCAGUAUAAUGAGCUCACAGCGCACAGGCAUGAGCGGACAGAUGCAAGGCAUGAUGGUCCAGUACACACCCAUGCCCUCCUAUCAGGUGGCCGUAGCUAAUGAAACCCAGCCUGUGGUGCAGCAGCAGUACCAGCAGCCUGUCAUGGUGCCUGUUAGCCAGUCUGUCCAGGGUGCCAUGCCAACCCCUGCACCCAUGCCAGUCUACUACAGUGUCUUGACCCCCACACAACAGAACAGCACAAGUCCAUCUGUGGGCUACCUGCAGCCUCCCAGUUCAGAUCAGUACCAGAUGACCCAGUCUCCGUCCCCCUGCAGCCCUCAGCAGAUACAGCAGCAGUAUUCAGGAGUGCCGCCCCCUGGUCCAGGUGUCAUGGUGAUGCAGCUGAGUGUUCCAAAUGGGCCACAGUCUACUCAGAAUCCUCCUAUGGUGCAGUGGAAUCCCUGCAAGUAUUAUAGCGUGGAGCAGAGACCCAGCAAGCCUGAGCCACAGGGGGGGAGCGUACUUUGGUUGUUAAGUAGUCCUUUGGCAUCUCCUACUCAGUCUCCCACUCCGUCUCCAUCCAGCAGCGGGAACAGUGUGUGCCCUGGACUCGGCCCACUUCCACUCAUUUCUCAGUUUCCUCGGCCUGGAGGACCCGCACAAGGUGACUAUUAUGGUGCAACCUGCCAUCAGAUCACAUUGCACCCAAUUGCAUUUUACUGUACAGACAUAAACACACACACACACACACACACUGGUUCCCCUACUGCCCUACUGAUCCGUGUGUUGGAGGUGACGGAUCUACCCGAGGGCAUCUCUCGUCUAGAUGCCGAGAAGCUCUUCAACCAGCUCUCACUCUGCGGUGCCAAAAUCCAGUGGCUGAAGGACCCCCAGGUGCCCCGGGGGCCCACAACGGCCCCGGGACCCGGGGGAGGAUGCGGAAUGGGCAAAAACGAUGCACAUGACCCAGCCCACCUCUACACAGUGGUGGCCGUGUUCCCAAACACCAUGGCUGCCCAGAGCGCGUCCUUCAAGCUGAACAACAGUGGAGGAAGCCUGUUCAAACUGCGCGCCGCCAAAAAGAACUAUGACCUGCGCGUGCUGGAGCGAGCCAGCUCCCAGUGA